rnacentral:piRNA from 1 species
UUCCUUAGCUCAGAGGGAUGUGAGCAGA